rnacentral:lncRNA from 13 species
GAUCUGGUCAAGGGCCCACACUCCCCCAGAGCACUCCAGGAUUUUGAGACGAAAUAAAUAAAUAAGGCCUUGAGAAAAAUGUAAACGAGCUUUACCUUUAAAGAGUUGUGCUGGAAACUCGGAUGAGACCCAUCAAGAGGAGAUUCUGAAAAUCUCACGGCCAGGUGCGGUGGCUCACGCCUGAAGAUUACGCCAGCACUUUAGGAGGCCGAGGCAGGCGGAUCAUGAGGUCAACAUUUCGAGACCAGCCUGGCCAGCAUGGUGAAACCUCGUCUCUACUAAAAAUGCAAAAAAAAAUAGCGGGGCAUGGUGACGCGCGCCUGUAAUCCCAGCUACUCGGCAGGCUAAGGCAGGAGAAUUGCUGAACCCGGGAGGCAGAGGUUGCAGUCAAGAUGGUGCCAUUGCACUCCAGCCUGGAUGAUGGGGCAAGACCAUCUCAGAAAAAAAAAAUAAAAGAAAAUCUCACAGCCUAGGUCCACACUCCCCUUGACAUCAGUCUCCCACUUCAGACCAGGCCCCUUAGUUCCUCCACUUCACUCAUUUUACUGACUGCCUACAGGAGAUCGAGUUUUCCAUCCCUAAUUAGACAAAUAAAUUAAGAAGAUAAUUUUUACUGAAUACCUAUUACAUGCCAGACACUGUGCUAUGCACUUAAAUGGGUUAAUUCAUUGGAUCCUCAUUACAGCACAUAACAACCCUAUGGGUUGGAUGGCAUUCUGAGCCCCAAUUUGCAAAGGUGGAAACUGAGGCAUAGAGUGACCUGCCCAAGGUGACACAUCAGUAAGUGGCAGUGUUGGAUUCCAACACUGACAGAGCUUUCUUUCUUAACCACACCCACCCACUGCCGCAUUGAGAAUCACUGAGAAUGCAGUGUAUGCUAGGGAUCUUGAAUUAUAAAGGAGUGCCUCUCAGGUGGAAUUCAUGGCAAUUCAUCCUUCCUGGUGACAGUUCAGGUAAAGUAGUGGGUGGGGAAAAUAUUACCGGGUGGGGAUCAUCCCAACAUUCCUUGUGUGCACACACGAUUACAUGGCCAUCUUCUCUAGGUGGGUAUUAAGAGAGCCAAAUGAUGCCUGCUGUUUGAUUUUAUUCUAAAGUUAUCCAUUGGAAGCCCUCCCACUAACCAGGCUCUUGUCAUGUAAUCCUCAAGACAAUGAGCAAGGAUGGGUAGGUUUUACAGACGAGGACACUGAGGCUCAGAGAAAACAGUUCACCCAAGCAAGUCACAUGGGCUAAAGGUGGGGCAGGGCUGGAGUCAGGAUUCCUGGAAGAGAAUGUGGUCACCUCCUUCAGGAUUACUGCUGUCUGUCUAAGAACAGGGCUCAACCUAGAAACACAUCACAACAGCAGAGGGGGUCGAAGCAAUAUAGGGACAUGUCACAGGGAGAAAUUAACUUCCAAAAGCACAAAGGACUUCCUCAAAAAAGAAGCUUUUGACUAGGGCCUUGGAGAAAGAACAGCACUUCCACAGAUAGCCAUGAAGAGAAAGGUAUCCUGGGCAAAGUCUGGCAUGAGGGAAGGCUGGCAUGAGGAAAGUGCGGGUCUCAGCCAGACUCCAGAACAGGUGUGUCUCUCAUACAAAUGAUAUAUAAAGGGUUAUGGCUUGGGCCCUUAUCCCCCUCCCCUCCAAUUUCAUUUUUGUCUUUUUGCUUAUUAAUGCCAAGAAUGUACCUUGUAUAGAGCUUAACUUGAACGCUCUUAUAAGUAGGAUUUCAUUAGCUCCUCUAAACAGCCCUGAAAGGUAGUUAGGAUAGGUGGGUAGGUAGGCAGAGAUUAUACAACUGACACCAAAAGAUUUCAAAUAAAUGCCUAUUGAAUAAAUGAAUGAAUGAAUGG